rnacentral:rRNA from 1 species
CCCCUAGUAACGGCGAGUGAAGAGGGAAAAGCAAAUUUUGAAUCUGAUGUCUUUGGCAUCCGAGUUGUAAUCUAGAGAAGUGUUUUCUGCCUUGGACCACACAUAAAUUCCCUGGAAUGGGGUGUCAUAGAGGGUGAGAAUCCCGUUUGUGGUGUGGACUACCUUGGCUCUGUGAUACACUCUCAACGAGUCGAGUUGUUUGGGAAUGCAGCUCAAAAUGGGUGGUAAAUUCCAUCUAAAGCUAAAUACUGGCGAGAGACCGAUAGCGAACAAGUACCGUGAGGGAAAGAUGAAAAGCACUUUGGAAAGAGAGUGAAACAGUACGUGAAAUUGUUGAAAGGGAAGCGUUGAAGUCAGUCACAUUGGUCAGAAUUCAGCCUGGCUUCUGCCUGGUGUACUUUCUGGCAAAUGGGUCAGCAUCAAUUUUGAUUGAGGGAGAAAGACUUGAGGAAUGUGGCUGUCUUCGGGCAGUGUUAUAGCCUCUUGUUGUAUGUCUCAAUUGGGAUUGAGGAAUGCAGCACGCCUUAUGGCCGGGGUUCACCCUCGGUACGUGCUUAGGAUGCUGGCAUAAUGGCUUUAAGCGACCCGUCUUGAAACACG